CCUACGGGAGGCAGCAGUGAGGAAUAUUGGUCAAUGGACGAGAGUCUGAACCAGCCAAGUAGCGUGAAGGAUGACUGCCCUAUGGGUUGUAAACUUCUUUUAUAAAGGAAUAAAACGAGGCACGUGUGCCUUUUUGCAUGUACUUUAUGAAUAAGGAUCGGCUAACUCCGUGCCAGCAGCCGCGGUAAUACGGAGGAUCCGAGCGUUAUCCGGAUUUAUUGGGUUUAAAGGGAGCGUAGAUGGGUUGUUAAGUCAGUUGUGAAAGUUUGCGGCUCAACCGUAAAAUUGCAAUUGAUACUGGCAGUCUUGAGUACAGUUGAGGUAGGCGGAAUUCGUGGUGUAGCAGUGAAAUGCUUAGAUAUCACGAAGAACCCCGAUUGCGAAGGCAGCUUACUAAACUGUGACUGACAUUGAUGCUCGAAAGUGUGGGUAUCAAACAGGAGUAGAUACCCGUGUAGUC
rnacentral:rRNA from 1 species